GCUCCAAUGGCCUAGCGGUUAGAGCUUCCGCAUCGGAUGCGGAAAGUCGCGGGUCCGAAACCCGGCCGAGUCA